rnacentral:ncRNA from 1 species
UAACGUCUUCAGGGCGGGGUGGAAUUCCCCACCGGCGGUAGGUUUCCGGCAGCAAACGUUGCCAGUUACAAGCCCGCGAGCGCUUUCGGGAAUCUUCCCGGAAGGUCAGCAGAUCCGGUCCGAUGCCGGAGCCGACGGUCCGGCUUUGCUGCCUGCAGCAGAGCCCAUAGUCCGGAUGAAAGAAGACAGAA